UACGUAGGGUGCGAGCGUUAAUCGGAAUACUGGGCGUAAAGCGUGCGCAGGCGGUUUUGUAAGCCAGAUGUGAAAUCCCCGGGCUUAACCUGGGAAUGGCAUUUGGGACUGCAAGGCUUGAGUGCGGCAGAGGAGACUGGAAUUCCUGGUGUAGCAGUGAAAUGCGUAGAUAUCAGGAGGAACACCGAUGCGAAGGCAGGUCUCUGGGCUGACAC
rnacentral:rRNA from 1 species